GGGGGAGUGGUAUAAUGGUAUUACACGGGUCUCCAAAACCUUAGAUCGGGGUUCGAUUCCUCGCUCCUCUGCCA
rnacentral:tRNA from 1 species